rfam:Flavobacteriaceae bacterium TMED145 75289, whole genome shotgun sequence.
GCGGGCGUGGUGGAAUUGGUAGACACGCUAGACUUAGGAUCUAGUGCCGCAAGGUGUGAGAGUUCGAGUCUCUCCGCCCGCA